rnacentral:rRNA from 1 species
ACGGGGCCCGCACAAGCGGUGGAGCAUGUGGUUUAAUUCGAUGCAACGCGAAGAACCUUUACCUGGUCUUGACAUCCACAGAACUUUCCAGAGAUGGAUUGGUGCCUUCGGGAACUGUGAGACAGGUGCUGCAUGGCUGUCGUCAGCUCGUGUUGUGAAAUGUUGGGUUAAGUCCCGCAACGAGCGCAACCCUUAUCCUUUGUUGCCAGCGGUCCGGCCGGGAACUCAAAGGAGACUGCCAGUGAUAAACUGGAGGAAGUGGGGAUGACGUCAAGUCAUCAUGGCCCUUACGACCAGGGCUACACACGUGCUACAAUGGCGCAUACAAAGAGAAGCGACCUCGCGAGAGCAAGCGGACCUCAUAAAGUGCGUCGUAGUCCGGAUUGGAGUCUGCAACUCGACUCCAUGAAGUCGGAAUCGCUAGUAAUCGUGGAUCAGAAUGCCACGGUCGAAUACGUUCCCGGGCCUU